UGGUGGAGUGAUUUGUCUGCUUAAUUGCGUUAACGAACGAGACCUCGACCUACUAAAUAGUUGACUUUAUUUCUUUGGUAGAUAAGAGUCUAACUUCUUAGAGGGACUAUCGGUUCUUAGCCGAUGGAAGUUCGAGGCAAUAACA
rnacentral:rRNA from 1 species